UUCCUCCUUUUAAACCUCAAGUGACAUCUGAGACGGACACCAGAUACUUUGACGAAGAGUUUACUGCUCAAACUAUUACAAUAACGCCACCUGAAAAAUAUGAUGAAGAUGGCAUGGACUGCAUGGACAAUGAGAGACGACCACAUUUCCCUCAGUUUUCUUAUUCUGCAAGUGGCCGGGAAUAACUUCCUGUUUUGUAUUCCUGCUAUAGAGACAUACUCAAUUUAUCACUGAAAAUGAUUCCUGAACAUCACCACCAGUCCUUGUUAUUAUUUAGGAGAGCAGAGCACUUUCAGAAAUCAUUCCAAAUUGACCAAUUUCCUUUUUUGAUUAAUCAGCCUAUUUGGUUUAUCUGCAUGAGGUGUUACAUUGUUCUAAGUUGACCUGCGGUUACUGCUGUCUCAGCAUGAAAGUCAUAGCAAAAAGCAUUCCCCAGAUAUUAGAAGGCAAAUUCUCAGUUGCGUGGAUUUGUGCACAACUAGCUCUUAUUCUCUUGCCUUCCCAGAGCAGAGAUUAAAGGGCAUGCCGGUCUGUGAUACGGUUCUUGCUCCCUUCUAAAAUUAAUUCCAUUAAUUUGGAUGUUUUCACAAGCUGAUUGGAGCUUGACAGAAUGAGGGAAUAUUACAAGGUGGUUGUGUACAUAUGCAAGCUUUUGGUAGAUGUAUGCCAUCACUUGAAUCAGUUUUACGUUUAACAUGUGGAUAAAAACAUUCAGGCUAAGGACCUAUAAUUGUGUGUCUGUAUGUGUGUGCGCGCGUGUACAUACACAUACUCACACACAAACACACAAAGAUAGAUAGAUAUAUGUAUAAUUAUAUAUAAUUAUUUUUUAACUGUUGGAUACUACCCAAGAAGCAAAAAGUCUGGGAUUACCAAUUUCCCACUUAGACUUCCAUAUUCAUGUGCAAUUAUGGAGAAUGGGACAUUUAAAUGGAAGAAAUUAUCACAUAAAAGCAGCAAGUGAUGUUGUUUCAACCUCUUAUGAUUUGUGUCUUGUGCUUUCCUUUUUCUUCGUUGAUAUUCAUCACCCCUGGAGGCUGAAGAAUUUAGACAAGCUUAACAACAUUGCUUUUCACCAAAAUUUGUAUACUAAGGUAAACAAUUGUUUACCUUUUAUGUUUUUUUGAGUUUAUGAACUAGUUUUAUUUUCUUCAGAUGUUUUAAUUGAAUAUUUUGUUACACUUCAGUAGUAUUUAUUUUUUAGUGACAAUGAUUGUAUGUGUCAUGUUUGCAAUGCUGCUACAUCCUAGAAGAGGCUUGCAAUUUAUUUUAUAAUGUACGGAAGAACUGUACAAGCUGAACAAAAGAAUGCACUUUUUUCUAUAUGAAAAUGUUAAAAUUCUGAAAGUGUACCUUGUAUUUAGAAUUUGGUUUUUAUAGUUAAACUAUUUCAUUAUGAUCAAGAGAAAAAAAUCCCCAACCUAUGUAUCCCAAUUGUUUGCACAGUCUUUACUGAAGUUGAAUGUGGUAUAGAAGUUGGAUAACCUUCAAAAAUUUUAAGUUACCAAGGCCACAGUGAUUACAAGAAAUGCAUUGUAAAGUUUCAAACAUUUAGUUAGAUUGAUAGAAGUAUCUGUUUUAAAAUACCGUAUUAGUUCUAGCCAUGACAGAUGCAACAUUUUUAGUAAACCUAAUUCUCAAAAUAUUUAUUAAAUAGGAUGUUUGAAUAUUUAUUUUUUCAUUUAAAAGAUUUUAAAAAAUAAACAUGUGACGAAAGGCAAUUUAUGACAUGGCCCUUGGUGAUGGGAGUUGGGAUUUUCUAAAGGAGCUAGUAAGUGUAAUAGUGCAUGCCAGAUUAGCCCUGAAGGAUGAUCUGUGGGAUUAUAACUGAUGAUUCUUGACUUCAUUCUUUGUAACUCCUAUAAUCUUUUAAGCUCUUAUAUGACUUGUCUAAGUCUUAUGAAAACUGCCCUCAUGACUUUAAAAAAUAUUUACAUGCAAUUGUAUCCAUCUCUUGAUGCAGAAAAUGUACAUACUUUGAAGUAUCACUGCAGGCAGUGGAACGUGCUAGGGUUAUCAAGAGGCAUGUGGGCAUUUUAUUCAGGCAGCUAGGAUAAAUCUAUGCUUUAAAGAAAUAAGGUAAGUAUCAUUGUAUACUAUAGUAGGUCAGAAAUACUGUGUAUCUCUUGUGUGGAAUGAUUAUAGAAUAAGACAACAUCUGCAUUUAUUAAAAAUUGGUAAGCAGUAAGGAACAGACAGAAAGAAUGAGAAAUUUAGUUUAUGAUCAGUGUCUUAGUACUAUGUAUUAAAUACAAGUAUACUGUUUCUUUAAUAAUAGUUGAAGUAUUCUGAGUUCAGCAGUACUAAUAUGCAAAAAUUUAUUUGCUCUUCAGAUGGACAAGGAAGUUAAUUAGGACCACUUCUCUCCUUUUGCCAUGGAUAAAUAAGAGAAGUCAGGAGUCUCAUACUCCAAAUGAAUGAGGUCAUGUACUAUCAUCAUUUUCCUACUUGAAAUAUGCCAGCCCAAGCUAAUAAAAAAGCCUGACAUAUAUAAGAUACAUUUCUUCUCCUGUGCAGCCCUUAUAUAAAAGUCUGCACAUGGAUCAGUCUUGCUGGAUUGGAACAGGCAUGCUUUUUCACAGUUCAAAACAUUUAUUGAUUAGUGUGUGCUUGGACUAUUUUAGAUUACUCAUAAUUAUGUUACACAUAAUCAUUAAGAGGAUAUAGUUCAGUACUAAAGUAUAGAGCAGCCACAAUUGAACAGACUGUUUAGGGGAAAGGGGUAUUCAUUCAAUUUGAAUGUCCGUUAAACUCUCAGGUUGUCCUCUGCCUCCCACCAUCCACACCCCACUUUCCUUGCUCUCACUCCCCUUCCUAGAGAUGGACUACAGGAAAAAGCACUUUCAGAUACAGCCCUUCAAGGGAGGUAGUUGUUCCUAGCAUCAGUCUUUGGGAUGUUUGAUGACGCUUUUCUUUCUAGCUCCUCUAGCAGUGUUCAGAGCUGCAGGUGAGGGAAGGGGAAGGAGUCACAGCUAUUGCUCCUCCUCAGAGCACCUCCCCAGCCUUUUUUCCUCAGCUCAGCCCCACCGCUCCUCCUCUCAUCGUCUGCCAGGUUUUCUCAGCCCCUUUUCUCCUUGACCCUCCCAGGAACUCACCAUUAAGUAUCUACAAUAUACACCCACCUGACCAACCUUGCAUUUUCUGUCUCCCAGAAGUUAAACAGAAAGCAUAUCCAUUUUUGAGGGUUUAGCAGCAACUGCUGCCCAGACCAUUCCCCAAACAAGGGAGAAGUCUGUUAUUUUUGGAAUAUUGCCCACAUGGAAAUUUUGUUCAUUGUGUCUAAAGUCCAUUAGUCCUGCACUAUUUGUGAUGGUCAAUGAUAAAUUAUUUUUGUAAACAUGCCAUUGGUCAGUCAGUAUAGAGGAAAAAACAUUCCAUGCAGUCCCAUUUUUACAUUAUACAAAUAUUAUAUUUUACGUUCUAAAUCAUUAAUACUAUUUUUAUGAUGACUUGAUUUUUUUUAGUCAUAAUCCUAUCUGAUUAUAAUUGUUUCUACCCAUUGCUUUUUGAGUUUUGAUGUGUUGGCCAGGGAACGUAAUGUAGUAAAAUUAUGGAGAUUAAGAAAAAAUGAAAUCUUGAAAUACAUAAAAUAGAAUUUCUGUGAUCUUUUUCUUGGUUUUGUAUAAGGGAUAUUUUAUACAAGAUUCUAGAUUAGUAAAACUUGCUUAUUAAUAUGUUAUGAAAAAACAACAUAGACCAGUUAUGCUAAUAUGGAAGAAAAUGAGUAGCUGUGUAUAAAGUGAGGCUAAUGUGUACUCUUUCUUAUCUGUUGAAUACCAAGCUGUCUCGUUUAAGAUGCUUGUUGCACCAAUAUUAGGUGAAUAAGGCUCAAUUCAGUUUUCCCGCUACACUCACUUUUUAACAGAGUUUUAGAUUUUUAACAAGGCUUCAAUGUCUCACCCUUUCUCAAUAUACAAUAUGGAUAGAUGAGAAUGUUAUUUAUAAAUAUUAACUCUUCUGAAUUCCUCCUGCCAACCAACCUAAUGUGCUAGUUCAGAAGAAAGUAGCUUUUGUCCAAAGGAUCAGAAAUAUAUCAUCUCGUUGUACAGGCAUGUUACCUGAAACAUUUGAAUGAUCCCAUCUGUAUUGCAGGGUGCAAACAUUGGGCUUCAGACAGAAUAUUUCAUCAUGAGUGCAGUAUUGACCAGGGGACACAUUGUAUUUUGUGCAACACGGAUGGGAUCAGGACAUUACUCCAAGAUCAUUCAUAUUCAAUAGUGAAUGGGCUCUACCAUUCUGAAGUAUUCAUUGCUUACAUCAUAGAUUACUUUUUAGAUCAUUACUAUAAAUGAAUACUUUGAUAACACUUUUUGCCGUUUGCUCUUUUUGGCAAAAUUCACAAAUGAAGUUAUAGAAGUAUCAUAGGGUUAGUCUUCAAAGUUCUAGAUGAUCUCCUGAACAUUUAUGAGAUCAUUAAUGUCUUUCACCGUCCCCUGAAUUUUCAGACAAGGGCAGUGCUACUAUAUACACAAUAAAAUGUUUUAUGAAAAAAGUUAAACCAACUUUCAAUUUUGCUAUUUUCCUGAAAAGGAACUUGUAAUUUGAUGAAUAUGUGCUCAGCUGAACAAAAAACCAGCUUUCUUUUGGCACUAGAUGGCAACACUAAAACCAUGUGUCUUACGAACAAAAUCCAAAAUAUAGUGAUAUAUCUCUUUUAUAUUGAAGUGAUUAUAAUUAAUGAAAUUAAUUUAUUUUACCUGAAGUUUCAAAGAGCAGUGAACAAUACAAGCAGUGUGUGGUAUCGCAUUAGUUUCUUUGCAGACACAAUCCUACAGCUUUUUCGUUGUGAUAUCAGAGAUCUUUUCCUGGAAUCAGUGGGCUUGCACCAAACAGGUUCAGUACCAUGUAGUUUCUAUAUGUUAUAUAUUUCAUAUAAAGGACUUUAUGAUUCUGUUACUUCCCCAGUAGUCUUAUGGAUUAGGAUCUCAAAAAGAACUUGCACUUUUACAGCAUUUUGCUGAGAGCACUACGCUAACAUCCAGCCUCAAAGUAGGAAAUAAUAUUAAACCAAGUUCUGUAUGAGAUGAACCAGAAGAGCCUCUGCCAUUUUAACUCUUUAAUAUAUUGCAUUGUGUCUAUAUUGUGUCAUUGAGGAAAAGGGAUUAAUAGAUGGCCAUAUACAUUGAAUAAUUUUUGUUGUAUAUCUUUCCUUCAGGAGUUCAAAGUAGCAAAAAAGGAGUCUCUCCUCAUAUAAUCCUAUGAGAUAGGUUAGCUGAGAGAGUGUGACUGGCCUAUAGUAAUGACAGCCAUUGUCAGAAAGAAUUGACAAAUUCUGGGCGGAAAGAGAAGGCAACCUCUUUUCUACAUAAAAGACAGUAUUAUAGAAAGCCUUAUCAUAAUUUUCUCCAAAUCAAAUAGCAUCUGUCUUUUUAAAUCACAGAUUUGCCAUGGAAUUGCAAAUUAGUCCAUAUUAUAAAGAACAGAACUUUUGCCAUUUUGUAUAGAGAAAAUAUUUAAAAGUCAAUAUUUAAAUUGCCUCUGAAUUUAUAUAUUAUUAAUACUGGGCUGACAUCUGCUAGUGAACUAACAUUCCUAUCCUCCUUCCCUAAAUCUUUCUCAAAGGCUGGAAUGUAGCAAAUGCAUGCCUGCUCAUCUAAUGUUGGAUGCAGCCUACUAUAACACAUCCUGAUAAAUAAGUGGGGGGAAUCUCCGAAGCUGGCAUCCUAUUUUAUAUCAGUUGCCUGCAUUUAGUGUGUUGUCCACAGACCCAAGUCAGCACUAGAAGCUUUAUCCCCUUCCUUUCUUGUGCUAAGGAGGAUAGGAUGAUGGAAAUCGAAAGGCCUAAAUACUUGAAGCUCAUCAGAUUGGCUAAACUUGUCACAGCUUUAUAUCAUUUGGUUUGAUUUAAAGGCAAUUGGGAUUUGAAUUCAUGUUCCUAUAUGAAAUAAUCCUUCAGAAUGUGGCAGCUAGUCUUCCCAAAUAAUACAUCAGUAUUUUUUUAAAAAUAGAACUAACACUAUGGCCACAAUACAUUUGUAGCUUUUCUACUGUCUUGCAGCCUUUUCUGAAUUUUGCUACCCUGACACAAGAGCUUUCAAGAAAUUGUAUUUUCAUUGUAUCUUGUUGGCUCCAGCUUAUACUUGCUUCCAGGACAUGAUGUCCUCUUAACACUGCAGCCAUCUUGACGACAUCAAAGACUUUGGUUUAUAUCUGGAUAAUUUUUGCACACAGCUUUGCUUCCCAUCAUGAUUCUUCCAAUACAUUUUGCUCAUUGCAGAGUAUUGUUUUAUACUUUUUUUUUCUUUUUAAAUGGGGGAAGGUGUCACUUCUUGAAGCUGGCAGUUCUUGCACAGGCCAUGUGCUUCUGCUGGAGUGAAAAAAUGUAAGCUUUCCUUACUAUGUGCAGGGUCUCUAUAUUACACCUCAAUGUACAAUUUUGCUGCUACUGUUUGUACUGUCUACAGUAGAAUUUCCUUAUCUUGAUCCUGGUAGUGCAUUUACAGGUAAGCAUGAAAUGUAAAAUAUUUAUUUAAAUAAAAACUCUAAAUUGAUCAUUCAAUUAUCUUCCCUUAGCUCUAGAGUUUGUGAAAUUCCUUGACCUUGCUAGUUUUUUCAGAAAAUCCCUGACAAAUCUAAUUGUAUAGUUAAGGAUAUUAAGCAGACAAGACUAAGUCCAAGAAACAAUUGUAUUUGUACUUAGUUGUACUUAGGCUACUUUCUUUAGCAUAUGACCAUAAGGAUCUAAAAUAACUACAGGGCUUUUUAUUUACUUUUUGUACAUUACAUAUCUUUACUAGUUUUACACUUACAUAUAGGGACACUCAUUUGUGUAUUUAUUUAUGCACACAGUAUAAAUAAAGCACAAUGUCAAUCUGUUAAAUUUAUGUCUAUGUUGUUGGUUUUGCUUUGAAAUACAUAUGCACAUAAAGUUACAAUUCUUUUUCCACUUUGUUUUAGGAUAAAAGAAAUUGCAUACUCUGUUGAAAUGACUGAAAUACAUAAUUUUGAAUUACAGCAGGUAUAACUGAAGUGUAGAGUUUCUAAAGUAUAAAUCUGAACAUAAAGAUAUACAGACGAUAGUUUUAAAAGGCUGGUGCUUUCUUCUGACAGUGUGUGCAUCGCCUCAUUGUGCAUCUGACGGUGCACAAUGUCAGUCUUCAUAUAAAUUAUCAAGAAACUGCUCUGUUCUCCCAUAUGGAAAUAUCUCCUUUUAGAUAAUUCUGUAAUUAAGAACAUUUAUUAAAUACUAAUUAUAUAUAAGAUUCCCACUGUUUAAAGACGCUCACUGUCUAAAAAAUAUGGGAACGGAAUGAAGGAGCCAGAAGGAAACCAGAUGCAGAAUUUGUUGUAUAAUUCAUACACAGCCACUGUAAGAAAAGCAUGCUGGAGGACACAUUUAAGAAAAACAUUUUUAUUUUUAACUGAAAUUAUCAGAGCAUAGCAUUCAUUAUGGAAAUGCAUUCCAUGUAUAAAAGAAUACAAGUUAAAUAGGAAAGAUUUUGGAAUGAAUAAUAAAAAUUAUGAAUGGAAACUUACAGAAAUGGCAAAAGUAAUAAAGUCAGGCUUACGAACACAAAAAAGCAGUUCAAGAAUAUGUAAGGUGCUUGCUUCAAUAACUGAUGAGAAACUAUGCAUUCUGAUACUGAUUCUGCUUUUGCAAAAUCAUGAGUAAUAAUUACCAGUUUGUCCCAGACAUCAGUAGCUUGGAAAAUCAUAAGAUUCCAGUAUAGCAUCCAUUCACUCAUUUCUGUUACUCUUUCAUGCCUGACUCAAAAUUAUGGAGUUAAGGACUCAUUUGCUUAAUUAAUAUAUAUUAAUUUACUUCAAACAUUGGACUGCUCUGUGUAGAACAAUUCCAAAAUUGGUUUAAGAAAUAAGUUUUCCAAAUUUGUAAUAUUAAGAAUACAAUCCUAAAAACUAUAAAUAAGCAUUUCAAGAGCUGUAGGAUUUCUUAGAUUUUCCUCUUGAGGCCCUAUCAGAAAUCAAAACUGACUUAAAGGCAAUCAAUCAUUUAAUAAAUCUCCAAGAUCUAGAAAUGGAAAGCUUUAAAAAAAGGAGAGAGAUUUCAGAAAAGAUGCUUCGUUGUUCUAGAGGGUUUUUUCUUACCGCUUUCAAUAAGCAUUAAAAACCAAUAAGGAAAGGAAUGAAUCUUUGUUAACUUUUUGUACUUCAACCUUGUCAGAUUGAAGCCACCAGACUGUCUUGUGAGAUCUGAUAGAUACUUAGUAUUCUUUUGACUACAAAAAUGCAAACUUGAGACAACAAAACCACAGUAUCAUAUUUGUCAAAUUGACCACCACACUUCUUUAAGAGGCAAAAGAUUGAAUGCCUUCAAAAAUACUUUCUCUAUAUAAUGUAAUGUUGCUGUUAUAUAUACAUUUUGUUUUGCUUUCAUGGAAUUUCAAGUCCCAUGGGUUAAGCUUCUGGGAAUUCUCUCAGAAAUGGUAUAGGGUCUCCUGCUUGAGCAGGAGGUUGGACUAGAUGAUUUACAAGCUCCAUUCCAACUGUGUUGUUCUGUUAUUAUUCUCUUAUUAUUAUUAUCCCAUCUAAUAGCAGUCAGUUCUAUUGUUGUAAGGUUGUUUCAUCCUGGAUCUUCAGACCUUUGCUGUAUCUGCUACAGAAAGAAUGCCAGACAGUUACCCCACUCUUCUGUAAAGUUAUCCAAAAAGGCAUACAAUUUAAUUAUAUAAUCAGCAAGAACUAGAAAUAGAGCAUUGAAAUAUGGUAACACAGUAUAAAAAAAGUAGCUGCAAGUAUUUUAACUGGGAUAAACUGUUGUAGAAACUGAAACUUGUAGCAAUAAAAUAGUUUUUGCAGAUCAAAGUGGAAAAAUAAUCUAUUUCUGAGGAAGAGUUAAAAAUUAUGGUACCAUCACAGAAAAGGUCCAUCUUUAGUGAUUUUUUCUGAAUUGCUUGGAUGAUGAGUUCCCAAACAAUGAUCACACUUUUUAGUCAGGCACUUACAACAAUGUUUGGCUCUUUAAACAGCUUAGUGUUUGGCCUUUAAAUUACCCUGUUUUCAAACUGCUUUGAUUUUACGUUUUCAUUGCAAAAUAAAACAAUGCCGUUUUUAUGGAUCACAAUUAUUGGAAACCACAGUCUCCAGAAUAGCUUUAUACCUGAAAUGAACUUAGACUUAGUAUCUACACUGCUGAAGUCAUCAGGUGCCCAAUUGGAAGAGGAAACAUUCUCAAAUGAAACAGUGAAUUGAAAAAACAGAGGAGUGCAGGUUUCCAGAGACUCAGUGGCCAGAAGUCAAAUCAGACUUAAGGCAAUUUGGAAAUGCUAAAAGAAGACAAGAAUAGCAUAUGAGAGUUCAAGUAGCAAUGAAUCAAUGCAUAGAGAUUCAACAAUCAGUUGUUGUGUUCAUUUACAUAAUCCGUACUUAGUGUUUUUUACCAUCAGCUUCACAUGUGAACUGUCUUAUUUAAACUGACAAAAAGAAAUACAGUAUGUGAAUUCUGUUUGUAAUCAUUUACAAGUGAGAAUUCAUUUAUACCUGUAAGUAAUCACCUGAUAAGUUUAUCAAGAAUGAAUCAGCAUGUGUGAACAAAUAUUUGCCAGGGAUGCUUGAGAAACAGAUUAGCAAAACUCAGAACAUUUAACAGCAGAAUGCUUAAGAGAACCAAAGGAAUAAAAGGAUGUGUACUUGGUAAAGAAAGAAAUGGAAGUAAUGGAAAAUAAAAAUACAGGCAGAAAUAUGUAGUUCUGUCUAAAUACAUGUAGGAUCUUAAAUAUCUGAAAGAUUGGUAAGAGCUAGGAAAAAUACUACUACUAGUUGGAAGAUAGUGGUUGCUGAGUUUGGAGAAUGAAUGCAAGGUUAGGUGAGGUGGGAACAAAUUCUUGAGGGACACCGAAUGGUAAAAAAAAAUUUUAGGAGGAAAAACAGGGUUAUGCAUGUGCUGGAACCUUCCCACUGAAAUCAAUGGGAUCACAAACCUUAACUUUGUCUGGACUGUGCCUUAGUUAUAUGUAAUCAUGAUUUCUCAGUUAAGUCAAUAUUUAUUAUACCAUGAAAACAUUUUAUGACCAGAGGUAUGUAACUAUUCCAAUUAAAACACAUAAAUUAAGAUUCCAUGCUAGACUUUGAGUUAUUGCUCCAGGAAAUUCUAAUAAUUGCAUAUUUGCUAGUCAUUUUUAGUUAUAAAAUGACAUAAUGUUACACUUCUGUUUACUUCUGUCAAGCAUGUACACAUUUAUUUAUUUGGGUUGUUUUUUUAAAUCUAUCCUACUGCUGAAAAUUUAGGGUGGAUAAUAUUAAGAAACAUUUUAUUCAUGUAUUUAAUAAAUAUUUAUUACAUA